rnacentral:sRNA from 10 species
UGAGGCGUGCGGCAUAGAGUGGCUCAAAAAGUCAUUCAACCGCUGGUAGAGCACGUCUUUGUCAGUUCCUCGCUAGAGGGCAAACACUACGGAUGUUCUUGUUAAACGCCAAGUCUCUACCCGCGAGCCGCGAAAGCGGCAUAAUGCUCGGGGCUUCGGCCAACCGAGUCGGCGACGGUCCCGCAAGGGCCUAUCUGUUGAUCGUGAAAUUGUCGGAGACGUUAGCGCGUCUCGCUGCCCCGAAGGCAGACGGUGAGGAAGUGAUCGUGUAGUGGUUCGUCAGGGGUGAAACGCCACACCCUAAAAAAGGCAGUCGUGAUGGCUACGCCGGAAGUGAUGAGCUACGGUUGUGGACAAGCGGGAAGCCUCGGUGCCACCGGGGGAUAAUCCGACGAGAGGCCAUCGAUGAAGGGUAUAGUCUCAGCCC